CAGUCUUCUUUUAUAGGUGAGGGGGAGUCUCCAUCUCUUGUAGUUUUCCGAUGUGGGACUCCUCUUGCUUUGCUUAGAGUUGUGAUUUGUGGUGAUGCUUCUUUGGCUAAGGUGAUGACCUCUCAAAGCAUGGCACUCGAAUGAUCUAGCCUAGCUAGUUGCUCGGUCAGUUAUGGUACAAACAGUAGUCCCCCAAGUUCUCGAGUAAGAAGGUACUUCUUGGUUGGGGACUUGUAAUUUUAAGUGCACUGGUCGAGCAACACCAUAGUUCAUCUUCCAAGCUGUAUAGUGCACUACC
rnacentral:lncRNA from 1 species